AUAGGAUCACUGAUGGGGAUCGAUCCAAGACCGACUGCACAUCAGAGUUAACAGUCAUAUUGGUUAAUUUAUUUGAAGAUAUCCACAGAGAAGAUUUAAGAUACAUCAAUCCUUUAAUCCACCAGUUCCAUCAUAUACUGUACUUGUACGAGCCAGGACGUGACGAGCCAGGAUGUGACUUUUUGUCCAGUUCACUUACGGGUAUACAACUAAUAAAUGAUAUGUAUAUCAAACACUACUAAUGAAACACUGUUAGUUUAUGAAACCAAUGAUAUUUACUUGUUUUAAGUGUUUUUAUCAUCAAAAUAGGUGCAUAAAAUCCUAAUUAAUUGAACUGUUGUGCAAAAAAGAGAGUUCUUAUACAAUAUUCAUAUAAUAUACUUUUAUACCAAGUAACCAUACCAGUUGUCAACAAGAUUGCUUAUCCUGAUGUUGCUAAGUCUGGUGAUUUUUGUCCUACCUUUACAAUACAUGUACAAACUAAAAAGAUGAAGUAUUAAUCCAAGUAUUACUUUUUCGUUGGCUGCGGCAUCAACUUUUGCAUUUAGCUCAACAUUGAUUGUACAAAUGUAGCUACAUUUCUCAUAAAUUACAUGUUCUGCAUCAGUAAGCCUUCAUUUAUAGUUCUAUCUAUGAAUGUUCUCCUCAAUGCACGUCAAAAUUAGUUUUUCAACUUUAUUAUUUUAAAAUUUUAAUUAAAUUUUUUGAAGUUUGUUAUUUUAAAAAUGUUUUAAAAAUUUGUUUAACAUGCAUUGAGAUGGAUAUCUACAGGUGCACUAUCAAUGACACUGAAUACGUUUAUGCUAGGCAAAACAUUUAAUUUUGAAGAAUUCUUGUUUGCAAUUUACCAUGUUUUAGAAUUAAAAUAUAUUAUACAUGUAUUUUGCCUUUUGCUGGUAUUUUUAUGAUCAUCUGAUAUAAAUGAAAUUCAAAAUAUGAAACCUAGUCAGUAAAGAAAGUAUAGUUUUUGAACAGUUUCUUCUUUCUGUUUAUCAUCUGAUAGGCCAAACAAUAGCAAACAUCUCAAUGACACAGUUGAUUUGAAUUCCCCCAACCCAAGUUUUAUCUUCAACAUGUAUCUUUAUCAAUUAUAUCCUUCACUGGUGAAAUGUUGGUUUAUAUAUUCCAAAUCAUGUUUCGAUACUUGUAUCUGCAAAGGAAUAAACUUAA